rnacentral:lncRNA from 1 species
AUGCCCGUAUGCUGCCUGUGGGGGUUGGGCUUUCCGACCAGCAUCUGGAGAUGGCAGCCUGGGCCUGGACAGGAAACUGGUGCUGAGUCAACUAGGAAGUGGCAAGAGCUGCUGUUGUCCUUACACAGAUCUCUGUCUACCCAGAACUGGAUGUCCCUCCCGAAACAGGAGGGCUGUUCCCCAACUAUGGGACAGCAACCGUGUCUUGACUUCAGAAAGCAGCCCUGCCGUGACAGGAGGACUGAGCCCGACCACGUUUGUAUGUCUCACGGAGAUUUGACAGUUUUGAGCAGCUUCUCUAGCGACCAGGGAGGCCAGCUGGAUCAGGAGAGCUUAGAGCUGAACAGGACAAAGCAACCUUGGGAGUACUGGGACCACAGAGCCAAAACCAAGAAAAUCUUCGCCGUUGAAUAGAUCCACCACCACCCUCAUGACAGCCAUCUUUAUGAAUUUGUGGACCCGUUAACACUUUUUAAGAACACGAACAGGCUGGGUAUGUAGUUCCGCAGUAGAGAGCUUGCCUAGCAGGUAAAAGACCUUUGGUUCUGGAGUGCGGGCAGGAUGGGGAUAUUUUUCGGAAAACAAAACAAAAGAAUCUGAUCAUAGGCAAGGAGCCUUCCUUCUGUUUCUGCCCCAUAGACUAGAAACACUGUGUGGGUCGCGUGCUCACAGCCUGACAGCAGCACAGAGAAGGAGGGGCACUUGAGACUGUGCAUUAGUGCAGGCUCGGUCCUGAGCCUGGCCCACAGCACGGCAGAGAUACUCUUUCCGCAGCAGCUCUUCAGGGAAAGAGAAGCCUUGUCAUCCGAAGAUGGGGUCCUCACACUGCAGCUGCGCUGUUUCAGAGCCCACCUGCUCUAAACUGCCCUGUCUCCGACUCCUCAUCAGGCACCUGCCCUUCCGAUAGAGUGGCGCCCUGCUCCCUCCUUUCCUGCAGUCUGGCUGUGUCUCCCAAGGUGAUCAGGAACCUACUUCCCUCAGCCACUCCCUGCCCCACCCCCAAGAUGACCAGGCACCUCCCUCAGCCACUCCCUGCCUCACCCCACCCCCCAAGUCCCCACUACCACUCAGAGCAGAAACUUCAGCAGCCAUCAUGUGACCUUGAAGAUGGAAGUCACAUGCCAGAGAAGACAGAAGGCAGAGACACAGAUAACUUCAAAGAGCUAACUGAAUAGCACCUGACUCCCACUCUUUGUAAAGCAAAGAGAAUAAAUCCUUGUAUGUAAACGACUAGAUUUUCUGU